AUCCCUGUAGAGCAAAGGAUAGCGCGUUGGACUUCUAAUCCAAAGGUCGUGGGUCCCACCUGGGAUG